UACGUAGGGUGCAAGCGUUAAUCGGAAUUACUGGGCGUAAAGCGUGCGCAGGCGGCUAUGCAAGACAGAUGUGAAAUCCCCGGGCUCAACCCGGGAACUGCAUUUGUGACUGCAUGGCUAGAGUACGGUAGAGGGGGAUGGAAUUCCGCGUGUAGCAGUGAAAUGCGUAGAUAUGCGGAGGAACACCGAUGGCGAAGGCAAUCCCCUGGACCUGUACUGACGCUCAUGCACGAAAGCGUGGGGAGCAAACAGG
rnacentral:rRNA from 1 species